rnacentral:rRNA from 1 species
CCUACGGGGGGCAGCAGUCGAGAAUCAUUCACAAUGGGGGAAACCCUGAUGGUGCGACGCCGCGUGGGGGAAUGAAGGUCUUCGGAUUGUAAACCCCUGUCAUGUGGGAGCAAAUUAAAAAGAUAGUACCACAAGAGGAAGAGACGGCUAACUCUGUGCCAGCAGCCGCGGUAAUACAGAGGUCUCAAGCGUUGUUCGGAAUCACUGGGCGUAAAGCGUGCGUAGGCUGUUUCGUAAGUCGUGUGUGAAAGGCGGGGGCUCAACCCGCGGACGGCACAUGAUACUGCGAGACUAGAGUAAUGGAGGGGGAACCGGAAUGCUCGGUGUAGCAGUGAAAUGCGUAGAUAUCGAGAGGAACACUCGUGGCGAAGGCGGGUUCCUGGACAUUAACUGACGCUGAGGCACGAAGGCCAGGGGAGCGAAAGGGAUUAGAUACCCCUGUAGUC